UACGUAGGGGGCGAGCGUUGUCCGGAUUUAUUGGGCGUAAAGAGCUCGUAGGCGGUUCGAUAAGUCGGACGUGAAAUCUCCACGCUCAACGUGGAGGGGCCGUUCGAUACUGUCGUGACUCGAGUCCGGUAGGGGAGUGUGGAAUUCCUGGUGUAGCGGUGAAAUGCGUAGAUAUCUGGAGGAACACCGGUGGCGAAGGCGGCAUCCUGGACCGGCAUUGACGCUGAGGCGCGAAAGCCAGGGGAGCAAACGGG
rnacentral:rRNA from 1 species